rnacentral:rRNA from 1 species
UACGGAGGGGGCUAGCGUUGUUCGGAAUUACUGGGCGUAAAGCGCGCGUAGGCGGACCUGCAAGUCGGGGGUGAAAGCCCGAGGCUCAACCUCGGAACUGCCUUCGAUACUGCGGGUCUCGAGUCCGGGAGAGGUGAGUGGAAUUCCUAGUGUAGCGGUGAAAUGCGUAGAUAUUGGGAGGAACACCAGUGGCGAAGGCGGUUACCUGGAGCUUUGCUGACGCUGAUGCGCGAAAGCGUGGGGAGCGAUCCGG